CCUACGGGGGGCUGCAGUGGGGAAUAUUGCACAAUGGGCGCAAGCCUGAUGCAGCCAUGCCGCGUGUGUGAAGAAGGCCUUCGGGUUGUAAAGCACUUUCAGCGGGGAGGAAGGCGGUGAGGUUAAUAACCUCAUCGAUUGACGUUACCCGCAGAAGAAGCACCAGCUAACUCCGUGCCAGCAGCCGCGGUAAUACGGAGGGUGCAAGCGUUAAUCGGAAUUACUGGGCGUAAAGCGCACGCAGGCGGUCUGUCAAGUCGGAUGUGAAAUCCCCGGGCUCAACCUGGGAACUGCAUUCGAAACUGGCAGGCUAGAGUCUUGUAGAGGGGGGUAGAAUUCCAGGUGUAGCGGUGAAAUGCGUAGAGAUCUGGAGGAAUACCGGUGGCGAAGGCGGCCCCCUGGACAAAGACUGACGCUCAGGUGCGAAAGCGUGGGGAGCAAACAGGAUUAGAUACCCCAGUAGUC
rnacentral:rRNA from 1 species